GACAAGGCAGGAUUUAGUUUAUUGUUUGAGGUAGGAGAGGAGAUGCAUUGCUUCUUGUGUUGCUUUAUGUGACAUGAAUGAAAAUGGAUGAAUAAAAUCUUUAGUGAUUUUAUUUUGCUAUGCACUUCCUACAGUAGUUCCGGGGCCCUCAAGAAACAAUACUCCACUUCAAAUCACUCCUUAAACACUGAAGAAGUUAUCCUCUUUGUGACAGGAUGGAUUUUCAUUAUUAUGUGAGUUGACUGUUAACGGCCAUGCUGCUCAUUUAUGUUGGCUUCAAAAACAGCUUAAUCAUUCAUCACUAAGCUUAAUGAAAGUGCUCCUCUUCCACUUUGUCUGCGAGAAUAAUACUUCUGAAGUAAGCAGAAAACAGGAAAAUCUAACAGAUGACAGUGUUCAUAUGUCAUGCCAGAUUUAUGAUGAUGAUGGUGAUGAUGAUGAUGAUGAGCAGCUUUUGACUGGAAUAGAAUUAAUUUUCUUCAUAAGAACGAACUUUAAUGUGAAUAAGAAACUAUCCUGAAAAUCUGAAGAAAACUGAUCAAGUUGUUCUUUUAGAAUUUGCUCUUUUUAAAUGGAUUCCAGACAAGGUUUCUUCCAAGAAGAACUCUCAAGAGGGUCAAGUCUGCUGUCUUGAAAUCUAGUGUUGUGUCCUGCUGUUUGCCACGCUUCCUUUUCUCUGGACCCUGAACUCCAUCUUCUCAUGCCUGAACCUCCCCUGGUGGAGCUUGAGGCCAGUCCCCCUUGUCCUGUCCUCUGUCACUUGGGAGAAGAGGCCAGAGCUCCCUCCUCUCUACAACCUCCUUUCAGUCUGGAAUCGAUUUUCCUACUGAUGAGGACUGGUAAUGGAGAUCAUUUGUGGAGAGUGGUAAUGAAAUCACAUUGGGCUUCCAAGAAUGAGGGCAAAGAGAUGGUUGUUUACUGGGAAUGAAGCUUGAUGGUUCUACAUUACAAAAGAAAAAAAAAAAAAGGAUAAAGGGAAAAAAGAGAAAGCGAAUGUUCCUCUUGUCAGGCAGAAGGUCAUAGGUGCUUCUGUAGAGGGAGAGAAUAUGCACACUGGAGGAUUAGGUUUCUAUCCAUUCACUUUUUAUAAUGAUUUCUAAGCAAAAAUAAACAAAUGGAUAAGAAAUAAAAACGUUUCCUUUGUGGAGAUUAGAGAGAAAAAACUCAGCAGCAAAAGGCUGUCUCUUCUUAGACUGUGAUUAAAAUGACAGCUCAGAAAAAAAAACUGGAUUAGUGAAACAAUGAAUUUACAGACCAUCAGAAAUAGAGUACAUGAAAGGUUUUUGGUCAGAAUGAUAAUUCCAACUGGAAGCAGAUAAAAUGCUACAUAGUAAACUGUUUCCAAACUGUGAAAAAUGAUAGUUAAAGAAAUGUUUAAAAUACUUGCAGAUAGCCAGGAUGAGACUGAAGACAUUAGGGUAAGAAAUCAGUAAUUUUGAUGACAGACUAUAAAUAAAUAAGACAUGUUACGACUAUCUCUGUCCAGGCAAACAUAAAACCAUUGGGAUAGUUUUGGAUGGUCAUGAGAUUAUUCUUUACUAAUUGUGUUUUGUAUAUAAGCCACAUUAUUUGCAGUGGUUGACUGAUUAGAAAAGCCAUAUAUUAUGACUGUGUGCUUUGGGUUUUUUUCUCUGUUAUAGCAUAUGAAACCUACAAGCUGAUGCACUGGUUUUUAGGUAUUCGGUGUCUAAAGCAUUGGCUCCCUCUGUCUGUAUAUUUGAAGCUUGCAUUAAAAAGGUUGGUUUGAUUAAAUGGCAUGAUAAAUCUGAGGUUUCAUAUUGAAAGAAAUAGUGAAAUGGAAUAGGUAUCAACAUUUUUUUUAUUUAAUUUGCUCUUUAGUACAGGAAAGAAUUAUUUAAUGGCUUGGCUGAAUUUUUC